rnacentral:rRNA from 1 species
AUUGAACGCUGGCGGCAGGCUUAACACAUGCAAGUCGAGCGAGCCGCGGACGGGUGAGUAAUGUCUGGGAAACUGCCUGCUGGAGGGGGAUAACUACUGGAAACGGUAGCUAAUACCGCAUACCAUCAGAUGUGCCCAGAUGGGAUUAGCUAGUAGGUGGGGUAAUGGCUCACCUAGGCGAGUAUCCCUAGCUGGUCUGAGAGGAUGACAAGCCACACUGGAACUGGGACACGGUCCAGACUCCUACGUGAGGCAGCAGUGGGGAAUAUUGCACAAUGGUGGCAAGCCUGAUACAGCCAUGCCGCGUGUGUUAAGAAGGCCUUCGGGUUGUAAAGCACUUUCAGCGAGGAGGCGUUACUCGCAGAAGAAGCACCGGCUAACUCCGUGCCAGCAGCCGCGGUAAUUC